rnacentral:lncRNA from 1 species
GAAAAUACUGAGCUGUUCUCUGUGUGGUACAGGCAGUGUGAGGCAUUCUGAAAGGAGCAUUAAUCUUGCCUGGAAGGACCGACCUGCUGGCAGCCAAUUCAUCAGCAACACUCCCUGGAAGCUGCUGGCCCACACUUUCCAUCAGUGGAUUUAAGCUGAGAAGGAAUUGUUUUACAAUUCCAGGGAAUAAUUUUUCCCCAGGAGAAAAUUCUUGUCGUUUUUAGGAUGUCCCAAGAAGGGCUGAACUAUUUCGUUGCUGCUAGAGGAUGCGUUGGUGUAAUACUAAAAAAUUAAACCUUAGAUGAUCAAUUUGCUAAUAGGCAGAGUGUCUUGUAAUAAUAAGUAUUCAUUAUUUCUCUGACCGGCAGGACCAUUCAUAUAAAUUAUCUUUCUUUAGAAAAAUUAAUGUUGUAUAUUUUCCUUACUAAGGGUAUCUUUGCUGUUUUAUAAGUACAUAACCACUUUCUUUGAACUUUACCAUAUGAAAUUGCUUCAUAUUUUCUCAACAAUUACAGUUCAGCUCUGGCUUUAUUUUUAAUUCACAGACAGAAAGCGAUAUAGGCUGUAAUUUCCCUGGAAAGCUAUACCUUAGUUACUGCUGACUGACAUUUCUGUUCUCAUUUUAGCUGCAAAAGCUUCAAAAUUAACUCACCAUUUUUAAUAACAAAUAAACAGAUCUGAACAAAUCA